GGGUUGUGAGGUUAAGCGACUAAGCGUACACGGUGGAUGCCCUGGCAGUCAGAGGCGAUGAAGGACGUGCUAAUCUGCGAUAAGCGUCGGUAAGGUGAUAUGAACCGUUAUAACCGGCGAUUUCCGAAUGGGGAAACCCAGUGUGAUUCGUCACACUAUCAUUAACUGAAUCCAUAGGUUAAUGAGGCGAACCGGGGGAACUGAAACAUCUAAGUACCCCGAGGAAAAGAAAUCAACCGAGAUUCCCCCAGUAGCGGCGAGCGAACGGGGAGGAGCCCAGAGCCUGAAUCAGUGUGUGUGUUAGUGGAAGCGUCUGGAAAGGCGCGCGAUACAGGGUGACAGCCCCGUACACAAAAAUGCACAUACUGUGAGCUCGAUGAGUAGGGCGGGACACGUGGUAUCCUGUCUGAAUAUGGGGGGACCAUCCUCCAAGGCUAAAUACUCCUGACUGACCGAUAGUGAACCAGUACCGUGAGGGAAAGGCGAAAAGAACCCCGGCGAGGGGAGUGAAAAAGAACCUGAAACCGUGUACGUACAAGCAGUGGGAGCCUCUUUUAUGGGGUGACUGCGUACCUUUUGUAUAAUGGGUCAGCGACUUAUAUUCUGUAGCAAGGUUAACCGAAUAGGGGAGCCGAAGGGAAACCGAGUCUUAACUGGGCGUUAAGUUGCAGGGUAUAGACCCGAAACCCGGUGAUCUAGCCAUGGGCAGGUUGAAGGUUGGGUAACACUAACUGGAGGACCGAACCGACUAAUGUUGAAAAAUUAGCGGAUGACUUGUGGCUGGGGGUGAAAGGCCAAUCAAACCGGGAGAUAGCUGGUUCUCCCCGAAAGCUAUUUAGGUAGCGCCUCGUGAAUUCAUCUCCGGGGGUAGAGCACUGUUUCGGCAAGGGGGUCAUCCCGACUUACCAACCCGAUGCAAACUGCGAAUACCGGAGAAUGUUAUCACGGGAGACACACGGCGGGUGCUAACGUCCGUCGUGAAGAGGGAAACAACCCAGACCGCCAGCUAAGGUCCCAAAGUCAUGGUUAAGUGGGAAACGAUGUGGGAAGGCCCAGACAGCCAGGAUGUUGGCUUAGAAGCAGCCAUCAUUUAAAGAAAGCGUAAUAGCUCACUGGUCGAGUCGGCCUGCGCGGAAGAUGUAACGGGGCUAAACCAUGCACCGAAGCUGCGGCAGCGACACUAUGUGUUGUUGGGUAGGGGAGCGUUCUGUAAGCCUGUGAAGGUGUGCUGUGAGGCAUGCUGGAGGUAUCAGAAGUGCGAAUGCUGACAUAAGUAACGAUAAAGCGGGUGAAAAGCCCGCUCGCCGGAAGACCAAGGGUUCCUGUCCAACGUUAAUCGGGGCAGGGUGAGUCGACCCCUAAGGCGAGGCCGAAAGGCGUAGUCGAUGGGAAACAGGUUAAUAUUCCUGUACUUGGUGUUACUGCGAAGGGGGGACGGAGAAGGCUAUGUUGGCCGGGCGACGGUUGUCCCGGUUUAAGCGUGUAGGCUGGUUUUCCAGGCAAAUCCGGAAAAUCAAGGCUGAGGCGUGAUGACGAGGCACUACGGUGCUGAAGCAACAAAUGCCCUGCUUCCAGGAAAAGCCUCUAAGCAUCAGGUAACAUCAAAUCGUACCCCAAACCGACACAGGUGGUCAGGUAGAGAAUACCAAGGCGCUUGAGAGAACUCGGGUGAAGGAACUAGGCAAAAUGGUGCCGUAACUUCGGGAGAAGGCACGCUGAUAUGUAGGUGAAGUCCCUCGCGGAUGGAGCUGAAAUCAGUCGAAGAUACCAGCUGGCUGCAACUGUUUAUUAAAAACACAGCACUGUGCAAACACGAAAGUGGACGUAUACGGUGUGACGCCUGCCCGGUGCCGGAAGGUUAAUUGAUGGGGUCAGCGCAAGCGAAGCUCUUGAUCGAAGCCCCGGUAAACGGCGGCCGUAACUAUAACGGUCCUAAGGUAGCGAAAUUCCUUGUCGGGUAAGUUCCGACCUGCACGAAUGGCGUAAUGAUGGCCAGGCUGUCUCCACCCGAGACUCAGUGAAAUUGAACUCGCUGUGAAGAUGCAGUGUACCCGCGGCAAGACGGAAAGACCCCGUGAACCUUUACUAUAGCUUGACACUGAACAUUGAGCCUUGAUGUGUAGGAUAGGUGGGAGGCUUAGAAGUGUGGACGCCAGUCUGCAUGGAGCCGACCUUGAAAUACCACCCUUUAAUGUUUGAUGUUCUAACGUUGACCCGUGAUCCGGGUUGCGGACAGUGUCUGGUGGGUAGUUUGACUGGGGCGGUCUCCUCCUAAAGAGUAACGGAGGAGCACGAAGGUUGGCUAAUCCUGGUCGGACAUCAGGAGGUUAGUGCAAUGGCAUAAGCCAGCUUGACUGCGAGCGUGACGGCGCGAGCAGGUGCGAAAGCAGGUCAUAGUGAUCCGGUGGUUCUGAAUGGAAGGGCCAUCGCUCAACGGAUAAAAGGUACUCCGGGGAUAACAGGCUGAUACCGCCCAAGAGUUCAUAUCGACGGCGGUGUUUGGCACCUCGAUGUCGGCUCAUCACAUCCUGGGGCUGAAGUAGGUCCCAAGGGUAUGGCUGUUCGCCAUUUAAAGUGGUACGCGAGCUGGGUUUAGAACGUCGUGAGACAGUUCGGUCCCUAUCUGCCGUGGGCGCUGGAGAACUGAGGGGGGCUGCUCCUAGUACGAGAGGACCGGAGUGGACGCAUCACUGGUGUUCGGGUUGUCAUGCCAAUGGCACUGCCCGGUAGCUAAAUGCGGAAGAGAUAAGUGCUGAAAGCAUCUAAGCACGAAACUUGCCCCGAGAUGAGUUCUCCCUGACUCCUUGAGAGUCCUGAAGGAACGUUGAAGACGACGACGUUGAUAGGCCGGGUGUGUAAGCGCAGCGAUGCGUUGAGCUAACCGGUACUAAUGAACCGUGAGGCUUAACCUUACAACGCCGAAG
rnacentral:rRNA from 1 species